AUUGAACGCUGGCGGCAGGCCUAACACAUGCAAGUCGAGCGGAGCGGCGGACGGAUGGGUAAUGCCUAGGAAUCUGCCUGGUAGUGGGGGAUAACGUCCGGAAACGGGCGCUAGUACCGCAUACUAUCAGAUGAGCCUAGGUCGGAUUAGCGAGUUGGUGGGGUAAAGGCCUACCAAGGCUACGAUCCGUAACUGGUCUGAGAGGAUGAUCAGUCACACGGGAACUGAGACACGGGCCAACCUCCUACUGUAGGCAGCAGUGGGGAAGAUUGGACAAUGGGCGAAAGCCUGAUCCAGCGAUGCCGCGUGGGUGAAGAAGGUCUUCGGAUUGUAAAGCUCUUUAAGUUGGGAGGCGUUACCAACAGAAUAAGCGCCGGCUAACUUCGUGCCAGCAGCCGCGGUAAUUC
rnacentral:rRNA from 1 species